rnacentral:rRNA from 1 species
GACGAACGCUGGCGGCGUGCCUAAUACAUGCAAGUCGAACGCUUCUUUCCUCCCGAGUGCUUGCACUCAAUUGGAAAGAGGAGUGGCGGACGGGUGAGUAACACGUGGGUAACCUACCCAUCAGAGGGGGAUAACACUUGGAAACAGGUGCUAAUACCGCAUAACAGUUUAUGCCGCAUGGCAUAAGAGUGAAAGGCGCUUUCGGGUGUCGCUGAUGGAUGGACCCGCGGUGCAUUAGCUAGUUGGUGAGGUAACGGCUCACCAAGGCCACGAUGCAUAGCCGACCUGAGAGGGUGAUCGGCCACACUGGGACUGAGACACGGCCCGGACUCCUACGGGAGGCAGCAGUAGGGAAUCUUCGGCAAUGGACGAAAGUCUGACCGAGCAACGCCGCGUGAGUGAAGAAGGUUUUCGGAUCGUAAAACUCUGUUGUUAGAGAAGAACAAGGACGUUAGUAACUGAACGUCCCCUGACGGUAUCUAACCAGAAAGCCACGGCUAACUACGUG